rnacentral:lncRNA from 1 species
AAGAACCGUCAUUAUAUUUCUAUCAAAUUGCUUGUAUAUAUAUAUUUGUUAAGCAGAAAAAAGAAAGAUGAAGGGUACGGUUAUGCAUGUCGUUUUUAUAGAUAUGUGACACAAAUAUGGAAAAAGUUCAUCUAUUUUGUCUUUUAAUUUAAACGAGAGAUGGUAGGUAUUAUCAUUGCGCUGGUCGUUAACAUAUCAAAUCGUAUGUUAGAAAAAAAAAACAUUAUAAUCGAAUACACACUCGAACCUCUGAAUCUUGGUAGUAUUAGUGAAUGAAUGAUUCCC